AGAACGAACGCUGGCGGCGUGGAUAAGACAUGCAAGUCGAACGGGAAUUUACUGGUAGCAAUAUUAGUGGAUUCUAGUGGCGAAAGGGUGCGUAACACGUAGCUACCUACCUCGAAGUUGGGGAUAGCUCGGCGAAAGCCGGAUUAAUACCGAAUGUGACUGUAAGGUCAAAGCUGGGGAUCGUAAGACCUGGCGCUUUGAGAUGGGGCUGCGGCCUAUCAGGUUGUUGGCGGGGUAAUGGCCCACCAAGCCUAAGACGGGUAGCUGGUCUGAGAGGACGACCAGCCACACUGGAACUGAGACACGGUCCAGACACCUACGGGUGGCAGCAGUCGAGGAUUUUUUCUCAAUGGGGGAAACCCUGAAGGAGCGACGCCGCGUGGAGGAUGAAGGUCUUCGGGUUGUAAACUCCUGUCAUUUGGGAACAAGGCGUAGGUAUUAACUGUAUCUACGUUGAUAGUACCAGAAGAGGAAGAGACGGCUAACUCUGUGCCAGCAGCCGC
rnacentral:rRNA from 1 species